rnacentral:tRNA from 1 species
GCCGAAGUGGUGGAAUGGUAGACACGCACGUUUGAGGGGCGUGUGGCGAAAGCCGUACGGGUUCGACUCCCGUCUUCGGCA